GAUGAACGCUGGCGGCGUGCUUAACACAUGCAAGUCGAACGGAAAGGCUCCUGCUUGCAGGGGUACUCGAGUGGCGAACGGGUGAGUAACACGUGGGUGAUCUGCCCUGCACUUCGGGAUAAGCCUGGGAAACUGGGUCUAAUACCGGAUAGGACGAGGGUUUGGAUGCCAUUGUGGAAAGUUUUUUCGGUGUGGGAUGAGCUCGCGGCCUAUCAGCUUGUUGGUGGGGUAAUGGCUUACCAAGGCGUCGACGGGUAGCCGGCCUGAGAGGGUGUACGGCCACAUUGGGACUGAGAUACGGCCCAGACUCCUACGGGAGGCAGCAGUGGGGAAUAUUGCACAAUGGGCGCAAGCCUGAUGCAGCGACGCCGCGUGGGGGAUGACGGCCUUCGGGUUGUAAACUCCUUUCGCUAGGGACGAAGCGCAAGUGACGGUACCUGGAGAAGAAGCACCGGCUAACUACGUG
rnacentral:rRNA from 1 species